CUCUGUCUGCGCCACUCAAACUUCGGGGGCACUUUGUAAUGUGGACCUAAAGUGCCGCUGGGUUCUGAGUGGCGCCGGUGGAG
ensembl:miRNA microRNA 371a